rnacentral:rRNA from 1 species
GGACCCGCACAAGCGGUGGAUUAUGUGGAUUAAUUCGAUGCAACGCGAAAAACCUUACCUACCCUUGACAUGUCCGAGAGGCUCCUGAGAGGGGGCUGUGCCCGAAAGGGAAUCGGAACACAGGUGCUGCAUGGCUGUCGUCAGCUCGUGUCGUGAGAUGUUGGGUUAAGUCCCGCAACGAGCGCAACCCUUGCCAUUAGUUGCCACCCGUAAGGGGGCACUCUAAUGGGACUGCCGGUGACAAACCGGAGGAAGGUGGGGAUGACGUCAAGUCCUCAUGGCCCUUAUGGGUAGGGCUUCACACGUAAUACAAUGGCGCGUACAGAGGGUUGCCAAGGGGCGACCUGGAGCCAAUCCCUUAAAGCGCGUCGUAGUCCGGAUAGGAGUCUGCAACUCGACUCCUUGAAGUCGGAAUCGCUAGUAAUCGCGGAUCAGCAUGUCGCGGUGAAUACGUUCCCGGGUCUU